rnacentral:tRNA from 1 species
GCUGGGCUGGCUCAGUCAGUAGAGCAUGUGACUCUUGAUCUUGGGGUCGUGAGUUCAAGCCCCACGUUGGGCA